rnacentral:rRNA from 1 species
UACGUAGGGGGCGAGCGUUGUCCGGAUUCAUUGGGCGUAAAGAGCUCGUAGGCGGUUUGAUAAGUCGGGUGUGAAAUCUCCAGGCUCAACCUGGAGAGGUCACUCGAGACUGUUAUGACUAGAGUCCGGUAGGGGACCACGGAAUUCCUGGUGUAGCGGUGAAAUGCGCAGAUAUCAGGAGGAACACCAGUGGCGAAGGCGGUUCUCUGGGCCUUACCUGACGCUGAGGAGCGAAAGCGUGGGGAGCGAACAGG